rnacentral:ncRNA from 1 species
CCUGCUGUUUCCUCAGCAGUAGCCUACCGAAGCAUGCGUUGCGGGUAACGGCAAGGUAUGAAGCCUUCGGAACAAUGUAAUCCCUUAACGAGAAAGGUUCACCGUGAGGUAACCCAACUGCUGGAAGCAUCAUCCGGCAGGGAUG